rnacentral:rRNA from 1 species
UACGUAGGGUGCAAGCGUUGUCCGGAAUUAUUGGGCGUAAAGAGCUCGUAGGCGGUUUGUCGCGUCUGCUGUGAAAACUCGGGGCUUAACUCCGGGCCUGCAGUGGGUACGGGCAGACUAGAGUGCGGUAGGGGAGACUGGAAUUCCUGGUGUAGCGGUGAAAUGCGCAGAUAUCAGGAAGAACACCUAUGGCGAAGGCAGCACUCUGGGACGGUACUGACGCUGAGACGCGAAAGCGUGGGGAGCGAACAGG